rnacentral:lncRNA from 1 species
UUCCCAAGGCCUUUGCCCAAGACCUCCUACUGGAGAGUGGAAUGGCAUCCUGGGAGCUGUAGUUCUCCAAGGACUUUGACCUGCUCUGCCCAAGGGACAGCAACCCGCAACUCCCAUCCCACAGUGAGGGCUCCCCCUAAACCAACCAGAACCCUUCCACUCCCAGGUCCAUGUGGCAAGGGGCCAGGGGCUCUGAAAGCGGUGCCAAACUGCAUCCCUUGCCCAGUGCGGACGCGCUCGACUCCGCCGUCGCUGGGGAGAAAGGAGCCCAAGUGCAGCUUCCUCCUCCUCCUCCUCCUCCUCCUCGGAAACCGAAAGCAAAAGUGGAGCAAAUCCCAGCCAUGGCGAGGCUUGCCUUCCAGCAGCAGGUCCACGGUUCUGAUCCGCCGGGCGCCUGAGAGAAGGUGGAAGGGAAACCCGCGACAGAGGCGGGAUCGUUCCCCAUGGCUUGGGCUCCUUGGUUGCUGCUCCUCCUGGGCUCGGCCUCCGUCUUAUCCGCCGCUCCUUCGGAUGUCAUGGAAGGUGAAUGUGGUGUUCCUACGCUGGUGGAAAAUGCACAGAUUGCGGAAGGCAGUAACUCUGAGAAGCUGCGCUACUCCUGCAUGAAGAACUACAAACGGAAAGCGGGCACCUCCAACCUCAUUCUCUGUAAGCAAGAUAAGCACACCAAAGAGUAUCAGUGGACCAACAGCAACUUGAUCUGUAUUCGAGACCCCUUGUUGCCUCCUUCAACAACCCCAGAGAAAACGUCCAGGGGAGAAGCCACUCCUUCCACACCGGCAGCUCCCAAGACGGCUGCCACCACAUCGCUGGAGACGGGCAGCCCACCGGCAGAUAGGCCCACAACCACCAUGGCACCACGAUCCAUCGUAGGGCUUGGCCAAGUCACCUCUCCCGGUCCCGUCACCCAGAGCAGCACCCGGCCCCGAGAGACCACCAUCACCACCACGCCUCCAGUUUUGCAGACCAGGACUUCUGAGACCCUUAAGGCAGGAAACAGAUCCACGGUUGCACCACCCAAGACAAGCUCUCCAUGGAAACUAACAGAUUCUCCUGCCAUCAGGGUUGGCUUUCCUUUACUAGCAGUGCUAUCUGUCAUACUGUUAGCCUUCCUAUUGUGGCGGCUCUGUUUCUGGAAGCAAACUGGUUCUCAGAGGCCGGGAGACCUUCCACCUUCAGAAGAAACCCCAAUGGUCCUCAUGGCAUCCGAAGACAAUGGCCAAGCCAGCGAUCCAGGCGACUUCUCAUCCCGCUGUGAAGGAGACCGAGUCCUGCCUUCACCUUCUGCUACUUCCACUGGAUGA